rnacentral:lncRNA from 1 species
AUAUAAUAGAAAUUUUUGUAUAUAUCUAUUUUCUUACUUAUGAAAAGUUUAAAAGCUUGGGCUCAAACUGUCAUCGCUUUUUUUUAACAAUCUAACGGCAUUGCAACGUCUUUGUAUAAUGGCCAACUUCAUUUUUCUAUCUCUAUCAUUGACCCAUCACUCAGGUCUCAAAUUGAUAUUCCUUAUCACAUGACAACCCUAUUCCAAGAUUUCAACUGGCUUCCUAUUGUCAUUACAAAAAAAUACUAAUUCGUCAGCCUGCCUUUAAAAUACUUGACAAUCUGGAUCAUUCCUUUCUACAAAUUGCUCAAGGAAAACUUUUCUACAAGAUGUUCCCAGAAUAUUACAUCACAUUGUCUACCUUCAUACUUUUGCAUGGGGUGUACCUAGAGCUGCAUGUACUCAUCCCCAUGUCUUAAGUCUUAAAUCUCAGGCAACAGCUCUAAAAGUUCAAGUAAUAUUAACUUUUUCCCCUGAUUUUUCCUGUUCUUUCUCUUUAGAAAUAUCUUGCAUUGCACAUCUGGGAUCAUAUUCUAUUCCUCCUUUACAAUAUAAUGAUGAAGAAUAUCAUCAAGAGAAUACAACACCAAGAUGAAUAAUUUGACUUUAGCAAUACCCCCCCCCCCCCAAAAAAAAGUAUGUGUCUUUAAGAAAACAUAAGGUUCUAUUUGGGGAAGAAGAGGGAUUCACUACAGAUUUCAUUACUAUUUAAAAAAAGGUAUUGAAAAACACCAGUAAACAUGUACCUAUGUGGACUACUUUCAAGUCUCUAGCAACAGAGGUAACUUCUUCCAACAUGCCUACGAUGAUUAUAAC